GUAUCCAAUCAGAUUGCAGCUCCUGCCUGCCGGGCCCGGGACCAAUCGCAGCGCUGGUGGCCGCUGACAUCAUCAUGACGCUGCUCAUCGCGGGAGGGGCCUACUGCCUAGGGGGGCGGGGCCGGAGAGAUGAGGUCAAGCCACGCCCCCCCGAGGUGGAGCCGACCUAUCAGGAGCUCCAGGGCGCACGUGGGGACGUCUACAGCGAGCUCAGGCGAUAGCCCCGCCCUCUCCUCGUCCCCCACCGACGGG